AAAAUCGCACCAACGUACAUGUACAGCUCACACUGAGGCUUCAUUUAGAAUGGCCUUGGAGUUGCAAAGCUGAUGGGAUGCUAAUAUGAUAAGCUGUCUAUGUCAUAACCUAAAGUUCUCAGUUCAUGUGUGUUUGUGGCACAUAUAUGGCUCUGUAAGACUGUGACUGUGAGACUGAGUUAAGGAUCAUAGAUUGCUUUAACUUUUUGGUUAUUUGGGUGCACCUAGGUUGGACUGUUGGAGCAAUGCAUCUGAGGCACCAAUCAGACCUACAUUUGACAAGCUGUGGGGUGGCCAUGAUAGAUGAAAGAAGGAGGAUUGGGCAAGUACUCAUGCAUCCAAUAUUUGAUUGGGAGCCCAGCCCAGGUCUCCGUUCCCUAUUCCUUUUUGCUGAUACGAAUUUGCCUGUAUGUUGAUCUCUACUUGUGCAGAGAGGAUAAUCAAGGUGCAGUCAAACCACCAUUCCUUGCGGUAGAAUGUCAAGCAACAAUAUUACAACAUGCAAUUACAAACUUAUUUUGUAUCACCUAUUUGACUGAUGGAUGAGGCAGGCUAUCUUACCUAAACUAGGUAAUUUUUCAUAACCAUCUUAAGUAAGCCUAUGUUACAAACUAGACUGAUCCCAUGGCAUGAAAUAGUUGUGCUAUUGGCUUAAGAUAUUCGAGGUGUGGAAGAAAAGAGUGGAUAUGACCAUGAGGUCCAUUCCAUGAAAAUUCACUUUUGCCAUGUUUUGAAGACUGAGAUUAGCAUUUAGCCCAUUGCUGCAACAAUGUUGUUCCACAUAGAUUUAUGAGUUCAACUUAUUAUCUAUUGGGUUCGG